UACGGGGGGAGCAAGCGUUGUUCGGAUUUACUGGGCGUAAAGGGCGGGUAGGCGGCCACCGCAAGUCGACUGUGAAAAUCUCCGGGCUUAACCCGGAAAGGUCAGCCGAUACUGCGGGGCUAGAGUGCAGAAGGGGCAACUGGAAUUCUCGGUGUAGCGGUGAAAUGCGUAGAUAUCGAGAGGAACACCUGCGGCGAAGGCGGGUUGCUGGGCUGACACUGACGCUGAACUGCGAAAGCUAGGGGAGCGAACGGG
rnacentral:rRNA from 1 species